CUAGAGUUUGAUCCUGGCUCAGGAUGAACGCUGGCGGCGUGCUUAACACAUGCAAGUCGAACGGGGCUUAUUGGGGCAGCGAUUUCGGUCAAUGCACUGAUAAGCCGAGUGGCGGACGGGUGAGUAACGCGUGGGCAACCUGCCCUGUACAGGGGGAUAACACUUAGAAAUAGGUGCUAAUACCGCAUAAGCGCACAGCUUCGCAUGAAGCGGUGUGAAAAACUCCGGUGGUACAGGAUGGGCCCGCGUUGGAUUAGCUGGUUGGAGGGGUAACGGCCCACCAAGGCGACGAUCCAUAGCCGGCCUGAGAGGGUGAACGGCCACAUUGGGACUGAGACACGGCCCAAACUCCUACGGGAGGCAGCAGUGGGGAAUAUUGCACAAUGGGGGAAACCCUGAUGCAGCGACGCCGCGUGAAGGAAGAAGUAUCUCGGUAUGUAAACUUCUAUCAGCAGGGAAGAAAGUGACGGUACCUGACUAAGAAGCCCCGGCUAAUUACGUGCC
rnacentral:rRNA from 1 species